UACGUAGGGUGCGAACGUUGUCCGGAAUUAUUGGGCGUAAAGAGCUCGUAGGCGGUCUGUCGCGUCGAUCGUGAAAACUUGGGGCUUAACCCUGAGCUUGCGGUCGAUACGGGCAUGACUGGAGUUCGGCAGGGGAGACUGGAAUUCCUGGUGUAGCGGUGAAAUGCGCAGAUAUCAGGAGGAACACCGGUGGCGAAGGCGGGUCUCUGGGCCGAUACUGACGCUGAGGAGCGAAAGUGUGGGGAGCGAACAGG
rnacentral:rRNA from 1 species